UACGAAGGGGGCUAGCGUUGCUCGGAAUCACUGGGCGUAAAGGGUGCGUAGGCGGGUCUUUAAGUCAGGGGUGAAAUCCUGGAGCUCAACUCCAGAACUGCCUUUGAUACUGAGGAUCUUGAGUUCGGGAGAGGUGAGUGGAACUGCGAGUGUAGAGGUGAAAUUCGUAGAUAUUCGCAAGAACACCAGUGGCGAAGGCGGCUAACUGGUCCGGUUCUGACGCUGAGGCGCGAAAGCGUGGGGAGCAAACAGG
rnacentral:rRNA from 1 species